UGCCCGUCUUAUCUCCAACGGUCCGAAGCGGAACACGGCGGCCGCCGCGGCCGGGGAAAAUCGAGGAUGUGCGGGCCGCAGGCGAGCGGCGCCGCGGCUUCGUGAGUGGUGGGGGCGGAUGGACACGGACGAGCACCUCUACGAGGACGCCACCAUGCUGGGCUCCUGGCGCUCCCCGUCUCCCGCUUCGACGCCGACAAGGUAGGCAAGAACGUGGCGGCGAUCUCAUUCCACCUCUUCACGCAGAUCACGCAGGUGGCACUGCAUUGAUACCCUUUAUGAUACUUGCACCGGGACAGAUCUAAGGUGUGAUUACUCAUCGACCUGAUCUCAGACUCGUC